CUACUGCCGACGAGUCCCAAACAGGACGAAACAGCUGUCCAGUGC
rnacentral:hammerhead_ribozyme from 1 species